AUUGAACGCUGGCGGCAGGCCUAACACAUGCAAGUCGAGCGGAUGAAGGGAGCUUGCUCCUGGAUUCAGCGGCGGACGGGUGAGUAAUGCCUAGGAAUCUGCCUGGUAGUGGGGGAUAACGUCCGGAAACGGGCGCUAAUACCGCAUACGUCCUGAGGGAGAAAGUGGGGGAUCUUCGAACCUCACGCUAUCAGAUGAGCCUAGGUCGGAUUAGCUAGUUGGUGGGGUAAAGGCCUACCAAGGCGACGAUCCGUAACUGGUCUGAGAGGAUGAUCAGUCACACUGGAACUGAGACACGGUCCAGACUCCUACGGGAGGCAGCAGUGGGGAAUAUUGGACGAUGGGCGAAAGCCUGAUCCAGCCAUGCCGCGUGUGUGAAGAAGGUCUUCGGAUUGUAAAGCACUUUAAGUUGGGAGGAAGGGCAGUAAGUUAAUACCUUGCUGUUUUGACGUUACCAACAGAAUAAGCACCGGCUAACUUCGUG
rnacentral:rRNA from 1 species